AUUGAACGCUGGCGGCAGGCCUAACACAUGCAAGUCGAACGGUAACAGGAAGCAGCUUGCUGCUUCGCUGACGAGUGGCGGACGCGUGAGUAAUGUCUGGGAAACUGCCUGAUGGAGGGGGAUAACUACUGGAAACGGUAGCUAAUACCGCAUAACGUCGCAAGACCAAAGAGGGGGACCUUAGGGCCUCUUGCCAUCGGAUGUGCCCAGAUGGGAUUAGCUAGUAGGUGGGGUAACGGCUCACCUAGGCGACGAUCCCUAGCUGGUCUGAGAGGAUGACCAGCCACACUGGAACUGAGACACGGUCCAGACUCCUACGGGAGGCAGCAGUGGGGAAUAUUGCACAAUGGGCGCAAGCCUGAUGCAGCCAUGCCGCGUGUAUGAAGAAGGCCUUCGGGUUGUAAAGUACUUUCAGCGGGGAGGAAGGGAGUAAAGUUAAUACCUUUGCUCAUUGACGUUACCCGCAGAAGAAGCACCGGCUAACUCCGUG
rnacentral:rRNA from 1 species